rnacentral:rRNA from 1 species
UACGUAGGGUGCGAGCGUUGUCCGGAAUUAUUGGGCGUAAAGAGCUUGUAGGCGGUCUGUCGCGUCUGCUGUGAAAAUCCGGGGCUCAACCCCGGACUUGCAGUGGGUACGGGCAGACUAGAGUGUGGUAGGGGAGACUGGAAUUCCUGGUGUAGCGGUGAAAUGCGCAGAUAUCAGGAGGAACACCGAUGGCGAAGGCAGGUCUCUGGGCAGUAACUGACGCUGAGGAGCGAAAGUGUGGGGAGCGAACAGG